rnacentral:misc_RNA from 1 species
UUUUAGAAUUGCGUUAGGGAUAGCAACGGAAAGCCCACAGCGAGGUACGAGCGAGGACUUGCAGUGUAUAGCCCGACCCUAG